rnacentral:rRNA from 1 species
GACGAACGCUGGCGGCGCGCCUAAUGCAUGCAAGUCGAGCGACGCAUAUCGGAGGAGUAAUCCACUGGUAUGACGGAGCGGCGAACGGGUGAGUAUCACGUGAGGAACCUGCCCCGAAGACCGGGAUAGCCCGGGAAACCCGGAUUAAUACCGGAUACUCUCUACAGAUCGCAUGGUCUGUUGAGGAAAGGCCUUUGUGCUUCGGGAUGGUCUCGCGGCCUAUCAGCUAGUUGGUGAGGUAAUGGCUCACCAAGGCAACGACGGGUAGCUGGUCUGAGAGGACGAUCAGCCACACUGGGACUGAGACACGGCCCAGACUCCGUACGGGAGGCAGCAGCGAGGGAAUCUUGUCCAAGUGGGACGAAAGCCUGAGACAGCGACGCCGCGUGGGGGAUGAAGGCCUUCGGGUUGUAAACCCCUUUCAGGAGGGACGAAAUUGACGGUACCUCCAGAAGAAGCCCCGGCCAACUACGUG